UACGUAGGGCGCGAGCGUUGUCCGGAAUUAUUGGGCGUAAAGAGCUCGUAGGCGGCCUGUCACGUCCGCUGUGAAAUCCCGGGGCUCAACCCCGGGCCUGUAGUGGAUACGGGCUGGCUGGAGGCAGGCAGGGGAGAACGGAAUUCCUGGUGUAGCGGUGAAAUGCGCAGAUAUCAGGAGGAACACCGGUGGCGAAGGCGGUUCUCUGGGCCUGUUCUGACGCUGAGGAGCGAAAGCGUGGGGAGCGAACAGG
rnacentral:rRNA from 1 species